GAUGAAGAACGUAGCGAAAUGCGAUACGUAAUGUGAAUUGCAGAAUUCAGUGAAUCAUCGAGUCUUUGAACGCACAUUGCGCCCCCUGGUAUUCCGGGGGGCAUGCCUGUCCGAGCGUCAUUUCAACCCUCAGGCCCCCAGUGCCUGGCGUUGGGGAUCGGCGCGGCGCCCUCCGGGGCGCUGCCGGCCCCGAAAUUCAGUGGCGGUCUCGCUGUAGCCCUCCUCCGCGUAGUAGCACAACCUCGCGGCCUGGAGCUCGGCGGUGGCCAUGCCGUAAAACACCCCACUUCUGAAAGUUGACCUCGGAUCAGGUAGGAAUACCCGCUGAACUUAAGCAUAUCAAUAAGCGGAGGA
rnacentral:misc_RNA from 1 species